UAUUAAAAAAUCAUCCAUUUUUGUUGUUAAAAUUGGUGAAGCUGACAGAAUAACCAAACAGUUACACGUGGUGUGUCAUAUGUGCCUUAUUUUGACAUACAGGGACCAAUUUUUAAUAGUAGAUUGGAUGAAAUUUUAAACA
rnacentral:pre_miRNA from 1 species